AUGAUUACCCGAACAUCAUCUUACAAGAACACAACAACCUUUAAGGCCUUGAUUGGGAUUGCCCCUUGUAGUGUUGUGACUUUUGUGUCAAGUCUCUUUACCGGCUCCAUCUCCGACCCAGAGCUGACUGAACGAAGUGGACUGCUGGAUUUACUGGAGCCAGGAGAUGGCUGCAUGGCAGACAAGGGUUUCACCAUCGAGAAGCCACUAGCUGAUCGUGGGGCAACGCUGAUUAUACCACCCUUCAAGAUGACAGUUCAAUGAAGAGGAUGCUCUGAAAACACAAGCAAUCGCUCGACUUCGAAUCCUCGUAGAAAGAGCAAUAGGCAGAGUCAAGGAAUACCGCAUCUGGGAACGCACUGUCCUUUCACCUUGUCUGCGACAGUCAAUCAGCUGUGGACCGUCUGCUGUGUGAUGACCAACUUCCAGGGACCACUUGAUUUAAAAGGCUACAUCCCUGUUGAAUAGUGUUUCUACUCAAACAUGUACCUAUAAAUAUUAAAUAUAAUAUAUAAAUAUUAAAACGAGAGGCACUGAACAUUUGGAGUGGUCCCUUCAUUUUUUCCGGAGCUGUAAUUUUGUACACUGAAAACAUUGUAUAUAUUGAAUGACAUGUAAUGUAAUUGAAUGAGAAGUCUUUCAUCUAUAAUCAAUUUUAAAGUCCAGUCAGUCCAUCC
rnacentral:lncRNA from 1 species